rnacentral:lncRNA from 1 species
CACGUCAAUGUGUGAAUUUGAGGUAGACACAGGUUAGCCAUGACAGCCUGCUGGAGAAUUGUGCAGAUAAGGGAACUUUGCCUGACAGUUUGCCCUGCUGUAUAUUUUUAAAUAAUCUUGCUACUCAGAGAAUACACAAGCCAUCUUAUUCUGAAAUGGCCUGAGUGCUUUUUUGUCCUCCAUUCUCCAGCAGAAUUAUCUGAGGGAGGCAAGAAAGGAAAAACUCACAAAUCCAUCCACAAUCCCAGUUUCCUCUGCCUACUAUCUGCCUGCCCGCAGCUGCACUCCACUCCCUCUUCUGCCCAGAGAAGGAGUGGGAAGGCAAAAGGAGAGAGCAUUUGGAUACUGCUAUACUUUGAGCUCUAA